AUCUUCUUUUUCCUUUUUAUGCUAUGUGGUUCUGUUAAAUGGAGCAUUCUGAUCCAUUUUGUUCUAAUCCAUGACCACCAUCUAAUGGGUUUUAAGGACAUGGAAGCAAAAGUUAAUUUCAUUUCAUGUUGCUGCAGAUUUGUUCAUACUAUUGUAUAUAAGAUUCAAAUAAUUUCGGAUUUCAGUACUAAUUGCCAGCUGGAUGAUAUUGCACUCUGAAUUCCCACAUAUAUUUUGCAGGGAAUAUUACAUAAACUAGUUAAAGCUUUCACUGAAAGUACAAAAACUAGUUAUUAAUUAAUAUCAAUGUUAUAUAUAACUAUGGGUGUGACCGUGUAACAUGUAAUGUAUUGAGAAUUGAGGUUGUAGGGAUUGGUGUGUCUCCAUAAUGGAAGAUGCAGAACCCAACUCACACUUUUGCAUAGACCUGCUUCUGCUUUGUGGAGUAGUGUACUGUACUGCAAUUUUUUUUCUUGUUUUGGUUGUUAUUGUAAAACACAAGUUAUGAAAAGGGAACUAUGAGUUUAAUUUCUAAAAUGGUAUGUUUUGUUUACGAUGUAAUGAGAAGAAAGGUUG